UACGUAGGGUGCGAGCGUUGUCCGGAAUUAUUGGGCGUAAAGGGCUCGUAGGCGGUUUGUCGCGUCGGGAGUGAAAACCCAGGGCUUAACCCUGGGCUGGCUUCCGAUACGGGCAGACUAGAGGUAUGCAGGGGAGAACGGAAUUCCUGGUGUAGCGGUGAAAUGCGCAGAUAUCAGGAGGAACACCGGUGGCGAAGGCGGUUCUCUGGACAGAUACCGACGCUGAGGCACGAAAGCUAGGGGAGCAAACAGG
rnacentral:rRNA from 1 species